rnacentral:rRNA from 3 species
GCGCGUCGUGGUAUUUCGCGUAUUGUAAUUUCAACACGAGCGGGGUCAAAUCCUUUGCAGACGACUUAGCUGUGCGAAACGGUCCUGUAAGCAGUAGAGUAGCCUUGUUGUUACGAUCUGCUGAGGGUAAGCCGUCCUUCGCCUCGAUUU